CAAGAGGGCCGGGCGGCCGCUCCGGCGUCGCCGGGGAGGAAAGUCCGGACUCCGCCGGGCAGGGUGCUGGGUAACGCCCAGGCGCAGCGAUGCGACGGAAAGUGCCACAGAGACCACAGCGCCGAUGGCCCCGCUGAUGCGGGGGACAGGCAAGCGUGAAACGGUGCGGUAAGAGCGCACCAGGUCCCGGUGCAAGCCGGGAUGCUGGCAAACCCCACCCGGAGCAAGGCCAAAUAGGGGGACGUCUCCGCUCUGCGGAGCGCAGCGCCCGGCUGCAGUCCCCGGGUAGGCCGCACGAUCCCUUCCGGCAACGGGGGGACCAGAUAGAUGGCCGCCGCCUCGCAAGCGAGGUACAGAAUCCGGCUUACAGGCCCUCUUGGCGC
rnacentral:RNase_P_RNA from 1 species